UUGCAGAAUAAUUUAAAAACAUGAUAAACAAUAUUUUAUAAACAAAUAAUAUGAAUACAUUUUGGUUAUCAUUAGAGUUUCUACUAAAUAGUGAAACAAGUUCUUCCAAUAAUUAAUCCAUUAGGUUUGUUGUUAUAUGGAGUUUAAACCAAAUCAUCAAUACAAGUGUAUUUUGAUUUGUAUGGUAAGACGUUUCAAAAAGAAUAGUAACCAUUUCAGAACUAUCAAUUCUCAAAGCUUUAGAAGGAUUAGCAUUUGUUGACCAACAUGUCUGACAUGAUAAUUUUAAAUUUAAAAAUUAAGAAAUCAAUCAAUAUAAUGUUCAAAAUGAUACAAUGUCAUUGUGGAUAAUACUGACGAUUAAGGGAAAGAAGGCAUCGGGACUAAUGAUUGGAUCAGCUCUCAUAAGAGUAUAAGAAGGAAGUGGCUCAAUGGCACCACACAAUGGUGGUGGUCGUUCAUCAUUUUUUGGAUACCAUACAGGCAUCCUUACUGCUGU